CCUCCAGAGCCUCUGGAAGUCACGCAACCUCUGAAAAUCAUGCAAGAACGGACUGUGCUUUUGGACAGUUUUCACAGGCUGUAGAAGAGCAUUCUUCAAAGUCACUUCAAGAAUAAAAGUCUUGUGUGUCUCAGGUAGGCCGCAGGAGCCUGUAAAUAGAAAGAGAACACAGCCUGAAGAUAUAGGUAGUACAUUGGAUAUGAAGAACCAUUCAAGUUGUUGCUGCUUGAAGAAGGCCUUAAGUAAACAUUCUGGGUUUCUUGGAUUAAAAAAGAAGCAAAAUUGAUGUACUAAUGACUAUCAUUAAGUAUUGUAAGUGUUGUACCUUGAUGAAGAUAUCUUUUCUUUUAUGUAUAAUGAGAGCGUAUGCACCAAGACAAAUUCCUUGUGUGUCCAAUCACACUUGGCCAAUAAAAAAUUCUAUUCUGUUC